ensembl:lncRNA
UUUUUUUUUUCUCUAAACUUCUCUUCUCACUUCAUUUCAUUAAUUUGAUCUUCAAUCACUGAUAUCCUUUCUUCCAUUUGAUCAAAUUGGCUACUGAAUCUUGUUAAUAUGUCACGUAGUUCUUGUGCCAUGGUUUUCAGCUCCAUCAGUUCAUUUAAGGUCUUCUCUACACUGUUUAUUCUAGUUAGCCAUUCAUCUAAUCUUUUUUCAAGGUUUUUAGCUUCCUUGUGAUGGGUUCGAACAUCCUCCUUUAGCUUGGAGAAGUUUGUUAUUACUGACCUUCUGAAGCCUACUUCUGCCAACUUGUCAGUCAUUCUCUGUCCAGCAUUGUUUCCUUGCUGGCGAGGAGCUGUGAUCUUUUGGAGGAGAAGAGGCCCUCUGGUUUUUAGAAUUUUCACCUUUUCUGCUGUGGUUUCUCCCCAUCUUUGUGGUUUUAUCUACCUUUGGUCUUUGAUGAUGGCGACCUACAGAUGGGGUUUUGGUGUGGAUGUCCUUUUUGUUGAUGUUGAUGCUAUUUCUUUCUGUUAGUUUUCCUUCUAACAGUCAGGUCCCUCAGCUUGAUGGAGUUUGCUGGAGGUCCACUGCAGACUCUGUUUGCCUGGGUAUAACCAGCGGAGGCUACAGAGCAGCAGAUAUUGCAGAACAGCAAAUAUUGCUACCUGAUCCAUCCUCUGGAAGCUUCGUCUCAGAGGGGCAUCCGGCUGUAUGAGCUGUCAGUCAGCCCCUACAGGGAGGUGUCUCCCAGUUAGGCCACAUGGGGGUCAGGGACCCACUUGAGGAGGCACUCUGUCCAUUCUCAGAGCUCAAACACCAUGCUGGGAGAACCACUGCUCUCUUCAGAGCUAUCACACAGGGAUGUUUAAGUCUACAGAAGUUUCUGCUGCCUUUUGUUCAGCUAUGCCCUGCUCCCAGAGGUGGAGUCUAUACAGGCAUGUGGGCCUCAUUGAGCUGUGGUGGUCUCCACCCAGUUUGAGCUACCCAGCCGCUUUAUCUUCUCAAGCCUCAGCAACGGCAGACGCCCCUCCCCUCAGCCAGGGCUGCCGCCUCGCAGUUUGAUCUUGGACUGCUGUGCUAGCAGUGAGCAAGGCUCCGUGGGUGUGGGACCUACUGAACCAGGCAUGCGAUAUAAUCUCCUGAUGUGCCAUUUGCUAAGACUGUUGGAAAAGCGCAGUAUUUAGGUGGCAGUGUCCCGAUUUUCCCGGUACAGUCUGUCACAGCUUCCCUUGGCUAGGAAAGGGAAAUCCCUGACCUCUUGUGCUUCCCAGGUGAGGUGAUGCCCCGCCCUGCUUCUGCUCACCCUCUGUGGGCUGCAUUCACUGUCCAACCAAUCCCAGUGAGAUGAACCAGGUACCUCAGUUGGAAAUGCAGAAAUCACCCAUCUUCUGCAUCAAUCAUGCUGAGAGCUGCACACCACAGCUGUUCCUAUUCAGCUAUCUUGGAAAGAAACUAGUUUGUUAAAUUUUAAGAUUUCAAAUUCUAUCACUCUCCUAAUGACUCCUGUCUACUUUGUCAAAAUGCUUGUUUAAAAAAAACGCCCUAAACAAAGUGUUCUGAGAUGCACAAUGGAGAAUGCUACUUUCUGUGAAUAGGAUGAACAGCCCAUUAAAAUGCUGCAUUCAAUUUUCAUUUCUAGGAAUCACUGAUGGUCCAUAUUUGUAGUCAAGUAAUAGAAACCAGGCUGAUUAUUAAUGGAUUACUGUAUUAGUUACCUACUGCUGCAUAACAAAUUGUGCUUCCCCACUCCCAAAUUUAGCAACUUCAAACAUUUAUCAUCUCAUACAGUUCAGAAGAUCAGAAAUCCAGGAAUGCCUUAGGUGGGUGGUUCUAGCUCACAGCCUUACAUGAGGUUAUAGUCAAGGUUUUGGCUGGGAUUCCUGACUCUGAGGAUUUGACUGCAACUGGAGGAUCACUUCCAGGUUCACUCCUAUGGCUUUUGGCAGGGUGCUUCCAUUCUUCACCAAAUGGGUCUCUUCAUUCACAACAUGACUUCUUUCAGAUGGCAUCCAUGAUAUCAAAUUGCUGUCUUAUUAACUAAUCUUGGAAGGGAUGUUCUGUCCAUUCUGCCAUAUUCUUUUGGUCACACAAACCAACCCUGGUAGAGGUGGGGAUCAUGGGGACCAUCUUGGAUGCUGACACUUAUGAAGCAUUUGCUACGUGGUAGUUACUCU